AAUGGCAUUAACAAUCAUACUCCGUAAGCCUUUCUAAUCUAUUCUAUUGCUUCUCCAUAUUCUGACUCAAAAAUAUUCUUCUGAUUAAACCUCCUCAUACCUAGGCCUUUAUUCAGGUAGAUUUCUGUUUGGAAAACAAGCUAUCCACCUUUACUUUCAAUAAAAUUCUAUGUUUGAUUAAUUGUGUCAAGAUUGUGUUAGAAUUAAGAAAUAU
rnacentral:misc_RNA from 1 species